rnacentral:rRNA from 1 species
GACGAACGCUGGCGGCGUGCUUAACACAUGCAAGUCGAACGGAAAGGCCCUGCUUUUGUGGGGUGCUCGAGUGGCGAACGGGUGAGUAGCACGUGAGUAACCUGCCCUUGACUUUGGGAUAACUUCAGGAAACUGGGGCUAAUACCGGAUAGGAGCUCCUGCUGCAUGGUGGGGGUUGGAAAGUUUCGGCGGUUGGGGAUGGACUCGCGGCUUAUCAGCUUGUUGGUGGGGUAGUGGCUUACCAAGGCUUUGACGGGUAGCCGGCCUGAGAGGGUGACCGGCCACAUGGGGACUGAGAUACGGCCCAGACUCCUACGAGAGACAGCAGUGGGGAAUAUUGCACAAGGGGCGGGAGCCGGAUGCAGCAGCGCCGCGUGGGGGAUGACGGCCUUCGGGUUGAAACCGCUUUCGCCUGUGACGAAGCGUGAGUGACGGUAAUGGGUAAAGAAGCACCGGCUAACUACGUG